rnacentral:misc_RNA from 1 species
GUGGAAUUUGCAGAUCUAAGAAGUCUCUUAUCGCUUCUCACAUUCAAACCAACCACAAGGAAGAGUUGGAAAAGGAAAAAGCUCAUGGAGACGAAGAAAUUGAGGGAGUGAAGUCUAAUACUUGCCGAGAAUGUGGUGCUAGUUUCAAAAAGCCUGCGUAUCUGAAACAACAUAUGCAAAGUCAUUCCCUUGUGAGGCCAUAUGUGUGUUCGGUUGAUGAUUGCAAUGCCAGCUACAGAAGGAAGGACCACUUGACUCGCCACCUUCUUAUGCAUGAGGGAAAACUCUUCAAGUGUCCUAUUGAGAAUUGCAACUGUGAAUUUGUUUUCCAAGGCAAUGUUAAAAGGCAUGUUAGAGAACUCCAUAGUGAGAAUUCUCCCCCCGCUAAUGUUGGUCAGAAGCAGUAUGUUUGCCAGGAAACUGGUUGUGGGAAGGUUUUUAAAUAUCCUUCAAGGUUGCAAAAACACAAGGAUUCGCAUGUUGAAUUGGAAUCUGUGGAGGCAUUCUGUGCAGAACUAGGCUGUAUGAAACAUUUUUCCAAUGCUCAAUGCCUUAAGGCCCACAUCCAUUCAUGCCACAGAUACCUGACUUGUGAGAUAUGUGGAACAAAACAACUGAAAAAGAAUUUAAAGAGGCAUCUCCGCGCCCAUGAAGCAGGUGAUCAGCCAGUGGAGAGAAUAAAAUGCCAUUUUGAGGAUUGUUGCCACACAUUUUCUAGUAAAACAAAUCUUAAUCUGCAUAUUAAGGCUGUGCACG